CAGGCGUCUAAGGUAGGCUUCCUGCACUACAAUGCCUUACUGAUGAGUCCAGUAGUGGAAGCUGGGACGAAACGCCAU
rnacentral:hammerhead_ribozyme from 15 species